rnacentral:rRNA from 1 species
AAAUAGAUACCCUGGUAGUCCACGCCGUAAACGAUGAGUGCUAAGUGUUAGAGGGUUUCCGCCCUUUAGUGCUGCAGCUAACGCAUUAAGCACUCCGCCUGGGGGAGUACGGCCGCAAGGCUGAAACUCAAAGGAAUUGACGGGGGCCCGCACAAGCGGUGGAGCAUGUGGUUUAAUUCGAAGCAACGCGAAGAACCUUACCAGGUCUUGACAUCCUCUGACCUCCCUGGAGACAGGGCCUUCCCCUUCGGGGGACAGAGUGACAGGUGGUGCAUGGUUGUCGUCAGCUCGUGUCGUGAGAUGUUGGGUUAAGUCCCGCAACGAGCGCAACCCUUGACCUUAGUUGCCAGCAUUCAGUUGGGCACUCUAAGGUGACUGCCGGUGACAAACCGGAGGAAGGUGGGGAUGACGUCAAAUCAUCAUGCCCCUUACUGACCUGGGCUACACACGUGCUACAAUGGAUGGUACAAAGGGCUGCGAGACCGCGAGGUUAAGCCAAUCCCAGAAAACCAUUCCCAGUUCGGAUUGCAGGCUG